rnacentral:rRNA from 1 species
UCGCACGAGAGUUUUUAACUCUAGUGGCGGACGGGUGAGUAACACGUGAGAAUCUGCCCUUAGGAGGAGGAUAACAGCUGGAAACGGUUGCUAAUACUCCAUAUGCUGAAAAGUGAAAUGGAUUUAUCUGCCUAAGGAGGAGCUCGCGUCUGAUUAGCUAGUUGGUAGGGUAACGGCCUACCAAGGCGACGAUCAGUAGCUGGUUUGAGAGGACGAUCAGCCACACUGGGACUGAGACACGGCCCAGACUCCUACGGGAGGCAGCAGUGGGGAAUUUUCCGCAAUGGGCGAAAGCCUGACGGAGCAAUACCGCGUGAGGGAUGACAGCCUGUGGGUUGUAAACCUCUUUUCUCAAGGAAGAAGUUCUGACGGUACUUGAGGAAUAAGCAUCGGCUAACUCUGUGCCAGCAGCCGCGGUAAUACAGAGGAUGCAAGCGUUAUCCGGAAUCACUGGGCAUAAAGCGUCUGUAGGUUGUUUAGUAAGUCUGCUGUUAAAGACUAGGGCUCAACCCUAGGCCAGCAGUGGAAACUGCUAGACUUGAGUGUGGUAGAGGUAAAGGGAAUUCCUAGUGUAGCGGUGAAAUGCGUAGAUAUUAGGAAGAACACCAAUGGCGAAAGCACUUUUACUGGGCCAUAACUGACACUGAGAGACGACAGCUAGGGGA